rnacentral:rRNA from 1 species
AUACGGAGGAUCCGAGCGUUAUCCGGAUUUAUUGGGUUUAAAGGGUGCGCAGGCGGCCAUUUAAGUCAGCGGUUAAAUCGUGGGGCUCAACCCCAUUCUGCCGUUGAUACUGGGUGGCUUGAUUGCGGUCGAGGUUGGCGGAAUUCGUUGUGUAGCGGUGGAAUGCAUAGAUAUGACGAAGAACACCGAUUGCGUAGGCAGCUGACCGGACCGCAAAUGACGCUCAUGCACGAAAGUGCGGGGAUCGAACAGGAUUAGAUACCCUGGUAGUCCGCACAGUAAACGAUGAAUACUUGUUUUCGGCGAUAUAAUGUCGGAGGCAAAGCGAAAGCGAUAAGUAUUCCACCUGGGGAGUACGCCGGCAACGGUGAAACUCAAAGGAAUUGGCGGGG